rnacentral:rRNA from 1 species
AGCAGCCGCGGUAAUUCCAGCUCCAAUAGCGUAUAUUAAAGUUGUUGCAGUUAAAAAGCUCGUAGUUGAAUUUCGGGAUCAAUACGUCGGUCGUGCUUUCGGGUACGUACUGGCGUCAUUGGUUUCUCCUUUCUGACGAACCAUGAUGUCAUUAAUUUGGUGUUAUGGGGAGUUAGGACUGUUACUUUGAAAAAUUAGAGUGUUUAAAGCAGGCUCACGCUUGAAUACAUUAGCAUGGAAUAAUGAAAUAGGACGUUUGAUUCUAUUUUGUUGGUUUCUAGGAUCGACGUAAUGAUUAAUAGGGAUAGUUGGGGGCAUUAGUAUUCAAUUGUCAGAGGUGAAAUUCUUGGAUUUAUUGAAGACUAACUACUGCGAAAGCAUUUGCCAAGGAUGUUUUCAUUAAUCAAGAACGAAAGUUAGGGGAUCGAAGACGAUCAGAUACCGUCGUAGUCUUAACCAUAAACUAUGCCGACUAGGGAUCGGAUGAUGUUAAUUUUUUAAUGUACUCAUUCGGCGCCUU